rnacentral:rRNA from 1 species
AGCAGCCGCGGUAAUUCCAGCUCCAAUAGCGUAUAUUAAAGUUGUUGCAGUUAAAAAGCUCGUAGUUGAAUUUCGGGACCAAUAUGUCGGUCGUGCCUCGGUACGUACUGGUGUCAUUGGUUUCUCCCUUCUGAGGAUCCUUGAUGUCAUUAAUUUGGUGUCUUGGGGAAUCAGGACUGUUACCUUGAAAAAAUUAGAGUGUUUAAAGCAGGCAUACGCUUGAAUACAUUAGCAUGGAAUAAUGAAAUAGGACGUUCGAUUCUAUUUUGUUGGUUUCUAGGAUCGACGUAAUGAUUAAUAGGGAUAGUUGGGGGCAUUAGUAUUCAGUUGUCAGAGGUGAAAUUCUUGGAUUUAUUGAAGACUAACUACUGCGAAAGCAUUUGCCAAGGAUGUUUUCAUUAAUCAAGAACGAAAGUUAGGGGAUCGAAGACGAUCAGAUACCGUCGUAGUCUUAACCAUAAACUAUGCCGACUAGGGAUCGGAUGAUGUUAAUUUUUUAAUGACUCAUUCGGCGCCUUACG